rnacentral:rRNA from 1 species
ACGCUCGACACCUACGGGAGGAGCAGUAGGGAAUCUUCCACAAUGGGCGCAAGCCUGAUGGAGCAACACCGCGUGAGUGAAGAAGGGUUUCGGCUCGUUAAAGCUCUGUUGUUGGAGAAGAACGUGCGUGAGAGUAACUGUUCACGCAGUGACGGUAUCCAACCAGAAAGUCACGGCUAACUACGUGCCUGCAGCCGCGGUAAUCUGAGCGGGCUGGCAAGGC